rnacentral:lncRNA from 1 species
CAAAAUACAGUUAUUGCAGGUACAAACGUUACACACAAAGAUUCACAUUUAAUUCAAAUAAAGAACGGAUUAGUUUAUUUCAAGACGCCACUUGUACAUCUACAGAACACUGUAAGAGAGGCGAAAGAUACCGAAAUGACAUUUUAACUCAUUAGUCGAAAAUAAACUGUUGUCAAUGUAAUGACUAAAAAAGAGAAGGCCAACAGAUAAACACAAUAUAGAAAAAUAAAGAAUAAGCAACACAAACUGCGUCCAAAACUGGGGGUGAUUUUCGUUGAACCGAAAGCGUAAGCUGAUCUUGCUUCACAUGUCACGGGAAUUCGUCGUUUUCAUUGCUCAUGUUAGUAAAAACCCUGUUUUGAGCCUAAAUCAGCAGGUCAAAUUCGGGGAAAGAUACGUUCAAUGGCUCUUCAACACAGCGGAAAAAUACCGCACCGGUAGAGGAAUUCAGCUGGUCCCUUAAUAAAAAUGUAUAUUAGUUCGGCGAAAUGAACGCAAACUACAAACAUCCAUACAAAUGAAAAAAAAGAACCCAACAUAUUACACUAACAAAGGCUAGAGGUUCCUGAAUUGUAACAGGCGCAAACAUGCAACGGAAAAAAAAACAUGCUUUGUGAGAUCUCAACCAUCUCUUAUAUCUCUAGCUAAUGUGAAUAAAAAAAACCACAGCGAUACACACCG